rnacentral:pre_miRNA from 9 species
UCUCGAUAGCGUAAAAGUUUACUCAGAUUUGUAUGGAAUGGGAUCGGUUGCCUACGUUUGCCUACGUUAGUCGCCAGGGGCGCUGUUCCAACUGCAUACAAAUUUUAGUUAACUUUUACGCUAUCGA